UAAGGAAUAUUGGUCAAUGGACGCAAGUCUGAACCAGCCAUGCCGCGUGAAGGAUGAAGGUCCUCUGGAUUGUAAACUUCUUUUAUCUGGGACGAAAACGGGAUUUUUAUCUCAAUUGACGGUACCAGAGGAAUAAGCACCGGCUAACUCCGUGCCAGCAGCCGCGGUAAUACGGAGGGUGCGAGCGUUAUCCGGAUUUACUGGGUUUAAAGGGUGCGUAGGUGGGCUUAUAAGUCAGUGGUAAAAUCUCCGAGCUUAACUUGGAAACUGCCGUUGAUACUAUAGGUCUUGAAUUAUCUGGAGGUAAGCGGAAUAUGUCAUGUAGCGGUGAAAUGCUUAGAUAUGACAUAGAACACCAAUUGCGAAGGCAGCUUACUACAUAUAAAUUGACGCUGAGGCACGAAAGCGUGGGGAUCAAACA
rnacentral:rRNA from 1 species